GAGCCCACUGUCUCCAUCUCAUGAAGGGUCUUAGGACUUGCCUCGUGCAAUCGGGCAACCAAGAUGUCAAGCUGGAUUUCAGGAGGGUCCAGGAUGCCAGACUUCUAGUCUGUGGGCAAGGGCAGCUCAAGCAGAAUAAGACGGGCUGGGACUAGGCACGUGUGGUGGUUUGUGGAUGGAGAGGAAGAUGACGGGACGGAGUCUGGAAGAAAUUCCCCACCACACUCUCCUUGCCGGCGUCCUAUCUGGGGCGGGUCCUUGCAAAGCCCACGUCGACGGAACCCCAUCGUGCAGGGACCUCUCAACAAAGGGGCAUAACUGCAGGACUCGGGGACCCAGAUGUCCCGGGCAGGCGUUCACCUUCCGUCACCUUCCUGAUCACACCAGCAGAGGGGGAAUGGGCCACAGCAGGGCUGCAGCCACGGCCUCCAGACGUUGUCCAGC